AUGACAGCAUAUCUUUUUAAAGAAAUAUUUUCCAGCCAAAUGGUGCAGCAGAGGACUUCCAGGAAUUUGUUCUUGUUCUGUAUCAAAGGUCUGGCUAAAUGCAUGAGGAUUAAAUUCCUUAUCUAUCAGGAUCCCAUUGGCUCUCAGAUGCUUUGUGGUUCCCUCCAUCCAGAAGAUGAACUACUCCUUUUGACCGAGACUGGCCUAAUGUGGCUGAUUUUUUUUGCUGAGAAGAUGCUGCUCACUUAUGCCCCCCAUCUUUCAACUGUCUCACUGGCCACUCCACAUUCUCCCUAAUGGGGGCCCUGCAGCAGCCUCUGCUUGGCCCCCCUGCCUCCCAUCUGGCCCCCUCCAACCCACUCUCCACAUUGCAGCCAGAUUUAGUUUUUUUGCCAAAUCCAGCUAUGUCACUCGCCUAUCUAAAAUACACUUUUGGCUUUUCUCUGCCAAUUGAAUAAAACUCCAAAUUUCUUUUUUUUUUAAUUAUACUUUAAGUUCUAGGGUACAUGUGCACAACAUGCAGGUCUGUUACAUAUGUAUACAUGUGCCAUGUUGGUGUGCUGCACCCGCCAACUCGUCAUUUACAUUAGGUAUAUCUCCCAAUGCUAUCCCUCCUCCAUCCCCCCACCCCACGACAGGCCCUGGUGUGUGAGGUUCCCCACCCUGUGUCCAAG
rnacentral:lncRNA from 1 species